rnacentral:rRNA from 1 species
ACCUCCCACCCGUGUUUAUUGUACCUUGUUGCUUCGGUGCGCCCGCCUCACGGCCGCCGGGGGGCUUCUGCCCCCGGGUCCGCGCGCACCGGAGACACCAUUGAACUCUGUCUGAAGAUUGCAGUCUGAGCAUAAACUAAAUAAGUUAAAACUUUCAACAACGGAUCUCUUGGUUCCGGCAUCGAUGAAGAACGCAGCGAAAUGCGAUAACUAAUGUGAAUUGCAGAAUUCAGUGAAUCAUCGAGUCUUUGAACGCACAUUGCGCCCCCUGGUAUUCCGGGGGGCAUGCCUGUCCGAGCGUCAUUGCUGCCCUCAAGCACGGCUUGUGUGUUGGGCUCCGUCCCCCCGGGGACGGGCCCGAAAGGCAGCGGCGGCACCGAGUCCGGUCCUCGAGCGUAUGGGGCUUUGUCACCCGCUCUGUAGGCCCGGCCGGCGCCAGCCGACAACCCAUCAUCCUUUUCAGGUUGACCUCGGAUCAGGUAGGGAUACCCGCUGAACUUAAGCAUAUCAAUAGCCG